CAAUGAGGGGGUGAAUACAAAUAAAUCUAAGAAGAAUAGAAGUCCUAAGGAUGGAUUCAUUGAUAAGGGCAACUCUAGGGCUCAUCCGUGGCUAACAGGUGAAAGGCAGAAACCCUAGACGAUAGAUUCAAAAAAACCGGGUCAAUCCACUCUCGUGACAGAGACCCCCAUAACUCUAAUACUUCCUAAUCUCAACUCUCGUUGAUGAAACAUAGCAGAGCAGGGUUUGAGCAACAAUCUACCAAAGCCAAUAAGCAGACUAGCCAAUAUCUUGGUCUAUAGCCUACAAAUCUCUAGAAUCUCUGGAAGGUCUGAAGUAGAGCUAGAAUCGGGAGGAGCUGAACAAACAUAACCGUUCAGGUUACUACUUUGUACCCGUUUGACCACAAAACCGAGCAUCAAGUCAAAAAUGAAAGCUCGUACCUAUAGGAGGGAUGACCAAAGGAGUUGGUUGGACCCGUGGAACCUCUUCAACUAGAUUCUAUGGAGCUGCUGGAAGAGCUUGAUAUGUCUAUAAUUUGCAUGUUUUCAGUGUUCAUUCAUCAUUAUUUGGAGUCUAGUUUCAUAUCAUUCAUCACUGUUUUAUAUCAUUUCUCAUCAUUCUCGCACACUUUGCAUGAUUAGGAUAGCUGUUGGAGCUGGAUUCCCCUCCAGGAAUCCACCUGCGAAAAUACCAAGCCAGCCCACAAAAGUCCACUAAGCCCAUUAAGUAGAGGACCUACGCAGCUGACGAAAUGACCUAGGAACUGACGAAGAGAUAUUCGUGGAGCGGACCUGAUAUCUCGGAACUGACCUGCCGAAUAUCCAGGAGGAUCUCCGCAGAUCCCGGACGGAGCUACCACGUGCGUAGACCUAUAUAAGGGAGGUAGGACGACUUGGAAGAGACAUUCAAUCCAACUUACAUUGAUACACACACUUUUACACUUGUAAUCCCUUUUCACAUUGUAAAAGCUUUGUCAUAAUUAAUACAAAAGUCCAUUCGUUCUUAGCAAUACAACUCUCAAGGUUUCAGUGAAGAUCUAGCCCUCCUUUCUCAUAAUCUUAAAUACAAAUAUCUAGUGUGGAUUUCAGAACCCACAUUUGGCGCCGUCUGUGGGGACGACAAUAUAUCAUUCCAACACCAAAACUAACACAUCAAUUGUGACCAACGAUCAUGGAUCCCAAUUCAUCCAAUUCAUCGGGAUCUGGCCUACCAGUUCAGAUUCCAAACGAUGACGUUACGGACGGGCACCUCCCAACGGAUCUCCCUCCCGGAGCCCAGGUUGAUGCUAUCCAUAACACUGACACAGAGAACAUCUCCCAAAACUCGAAUUCUUCUGGAUCUGACCGAAUCACUCCCCCUCCGCAAACAAGGGGCGGAGAACGAAAUGUCACGAUACAGCCUCCAAACGGAGAUAACCCGGCCAACAUGUCUAAUCAGGUCGCCCCGCUACCUGCCAGCGAAUUGGCCGAGCUCCGCGCAAUGAUCAUGAACUUGAUCAACUUAACCAAAAACCAUGAAAUUACGCAUCGUAACCUCGCCGCAAUUGUGGGUCAGCAGAGACGCGAUUCCACUCGCAUGGCACAUGAGGAAGAGCGCGAUAUCGCGGGUAAAGAGGUUC
rnacentral:sRNA from 1 species